UCCUGUGCCUCCUGGUUGCUGAGUGUUCACCUGGACCUUCUGACUACCUUCCCUGUGCUAUUCCAUCAGCCUACAGACCUGGUACCUGGAUUUUUGCCCGAGAUGAUUCCUACCACCUUACUACUGAAGAAGACACCCAUUCCAGUGGACCACUGUGACCCAGGAGGCAUUCAGCCAUCAUGAUGUGGCCUUUACCUCCACUCCUGUCCUGUUCUACCCAGAUUCAGCACAGCCCUUUAUAGUGAAGUCAGAGUCCUCAAGCCAAAUAGCUAAAGCUGUUUUAUCACAACAAAGGCCUAGUUUGUUCCAUGAGUGUGCAUUUCAUUUCUUCAGUUAAAGCCUUCAGAGACACAUAAUAAAUUUGGACCAGGGGAUUUUUUAGUUAUUAAUGCUCUCUGAAGAAAGGGAACAUCUUUUUGAGAGCAGCAUUGGACCAUACCCCACAAUCUCAAAUGAUUGAAAUUCAUGAACAUCUAGGAUCCCAUGAAGGUCACUGGACCCUGUUUUUUCUACUUCAAAUCCUGUAGUAGCCUACUGAAUGAGAAAACAUAUUCUGACCCAUUGGGAUCAAAUCAAAGGCACAGUGAACUCCUCAUAGCAUCUUCUUUGGAAUUACUCAGGAACCAGAACUUUUUACACAAAUGUAAGAAAUUCUACCAAGGAGUCCCCUUACCUAAGCAUCUCACAAGGCUGCAUCAGAUUCCAGAAAAGGCUUCUCUUGAUACAUCAAGCAUUUUGUGACCGACUUAUUCUUAGAUCAUUGGUUUUCCAAAGGCUUUGUGGCCAUGAAGCCCUUUGAGUGAAAACUGCAGAAGCCCAGAGUAAAAGUGAAGCUGCUCUGGAUGAAGCAGUGAAGCAAGAGUAGGGGCCUGAAGCCUGCUACAACUAUCUUCCUUUGCCACCGUGGUGACACCUAAGGGGACUUCCUUACAACACCUUGAACUCUCCAGAACACAGUUUGAAAACCACUGCCCCAGACAGCAAUAUGUUUGACCUGAAUGGCAUUCCAGUCUUUUCUGUACCUCCACUCAGCACAGUUCAUGUUCAGUUGAUGCUGAACAUUCUUAGAAAUACUGUGUGUGAACUUAGAAAAGUGCAAGAAGACAGGCAUGUCUUUGACCCCAGGAAUGAUCAUGGGCUGAAAGUGGUGUCAAGUGAACCUAGAUUAACAGCCCUCCACUCCAGAUGGAUAUCCAGUGAUUCCUAGAAUGGGAUAUAGCCAGAGAACAAUUCUAUGCACCCUACACUGACAGACUCCCUUAAGCAACUUCUUUCACAAACACCAGAUGCUCUACUGGUACUUGAAGUACAUGACUUUGAAGUCUUGACCCUCCAUGGAUACCUGAAUUGCCAGCAAGCGGGUUUUGAAGCUGGUGCCUCAUUGAGGGCAUAUUAGAGCAACUUGUACAUUUGACCUCUUGUUAUCAACCAUGGUACUCUACUUCGUGUACAAGAGAUAACUAUGAAAGCUGAAUUCAGAUACUGGCAACAUUUCCUAAAGGGGCUCAAUAUCUAUCAUCUUUUCCAAACUACACAUCACUGUAUGACUCAACCAGUAGCAGUUAUAUUGCCCCUUGGUUUUUAUUCAGUUUAACUACUGUUUCCAAGAUAAAGGAGCUAAUAACCUUUAAAAAAAAAAAAAAAAAGCAAUUAUUUUUUCUUCAUCACUGGCAUAUCUGCCUAUUCUCCAGAAUUAUUAUGACUACUCAGCUCACUUUUAACAGUUGAUCUUCAAGAGACAAUCUUUGAACACCCCUCCUCAUGUGAUUUAAAAUGAAACCAUUUGGAAAAGUUUCUUCUAGCCAAUAAUAGAUUUUUUUUUAAUUGCUCUGCCUUGUGCCGAGAGAUGUUAUUUUAAGAUGAAUCUUUUGAUGUCUGAUACCACCAACUGUAGAUGGUAGGGAUAGUUGGAGGCUGGCCCUUUGAGCAGGCCAUGAUAGCUUAUUUGCUGGGCAUUUCAGAUAGCUUAUUGCCUACCCUUUUGCUGGAAACAGACUGAUUUGAAAAACAAAAUCUAUGAAGACUGCAGCUAAGGAUUUUAUCAGUAGACUUAAGAGCUUUUGUCCUUGUGGAUAUUUUAGUGGAACCACAACAGUCUUAAUACUGUCAUUUUACACUGACUCAGAGCAGCUGACGUCAUUCCUUGCCAUGAUAUAUAUUUAAGGCAGGCAUUGUAACAGACAUUAAGACAACUUAUCUGUUUCAGCAGGAAGGAUUCAGUUUAUGGACUCUCAGACCGGAUCAUGUUGAACAAGGAGAUUUUGAUAUGUGUCAUGAGAAAACUCAUCCUUUACUUCCCAGUCAAUUUAAAGGUCAGCUAUCCUGAGCUACUCGAAUGAAUGCACUGGUUAAACAUUGGGGAUAGUUUAUAUCCUCUCUCUCUAGGCCAGUUGUGAUUACAUGACUCCACUCUAUAUCUUGUCAAACAAGGCCUAAGUCUGGUUGCUGUAGACUGCUCACCCUCAGCAAAUAAAAAUAAAAUCUGGAUGACUAGCCUGCUUGUA
ensembl:lncRNA